rnacentral:rRNA from 1 species
GGGCCCGGUCAUAGACGGCGGGAACCACCCGGACUCGUCAGAUCCCGGAAGUUAAACCGCCGUUCGCCGUUGGGAGUACUAGGGUCCGCGAGGCCCUGGGAAACUACGGUGCCGGGAACC